rnacentral:rRNA from 1 species
GACAGAGGGUGCAAGCGUUGUUCGGAAUCAUUGGGCGUAAAGCGCACGUAGGCGGCUGUGUAAGUCGGAUGUGAAAGCCCAGAGCUCAACUCUGGAAGUGCAUCCGAAACUGUACAGCUUGAGUCCCGGAGAGGGUGGUGGAAUUCCCAGUGUAGAGGUGAAAUUCGUAGAUAUUGGGAGGAACACCAGUGGCGAAGGCGGCCACCUGGACGGAGACUGACGCUGAGGUGCGAAAGCAUGGGGAGCAAACAGG